rnacentral:rRNA from 1 species
UACGGAGGGAGCUAGCGUUGUUCGGAAUUACUGGGCGUAAAGCGCACGUAGGCGGCUUUGUAAGUUAGAGGUGAAAGCCCGGGGCUCAACCCCGGAAUAGCCUUUAAGACUGCAUCGCUUGAAUCCGGGAGAGGUGAGUGGAAUUCCGAGUGUAGAGGUGAAAUUCGUAGAUAUUCGGAAGAACACCAGUGGCGAAGGCGGCUCACUGGACCGGUAUUGA